GCCGCAACAAAUAUAUACAAGGGAGGCAAUAAAAACUCUAUCAUUAAUUAAAGUAGAUUCAAACUUUGAAGGCAAAUGGAAAGCAGCUACUCUGACCCUCACAUACUGUGGGUACAACCAUGAAAACCAAAGGAAAGCAACUAUUCUUUGCCAUUUCACCGUUUCCACCCUUCAAGACGCAGCCGAAUGUGAAACGAGACACUUUGGUGCAUCUUGCAUGAUCAGUAGCUGGAUCUCUUUAC
rnacentral:lncRNA from 1 species